rnacentral:rRNA from 1 species
CCUACGGGAGGCAGCAGUGGGGAAUCUUGUGCAAUGGGCGAAAGCCUGACACAGCGACGCCGCGUGAGGGAAGAAGGCCUUCGGGUUGUAAACUGCUUUUCUCUGUGACGAAUAUGACGGUAGCAGAGGAAUAAGGACCUGCUAACUACGUG